rnacentral:rRNA from 1 species
CCCUAAGUUACAGGCGAGCUGAAGCGUGCAAAACGCUCAGAUUUGAAAUCCCCCCGGGGAGUUGUAAUUUGAACGAUUGCGUUCUUGGAGGCGACCGUGUCUAUGUUCCUUGGCCACCGGANGUUUCAUANGGUGAGAAUCCCGUGCGGCACGGCCCCCGGCUCCUUAUAAGGCGCUCUCGACGAGUCGAGUUGUUUGGGAAUGCAGCUCAAAGUGGGUGGUAAAUUCCAUCUAAAGCUAAAUACAGGCGAGAGACCGAUGCGAACAAGUACAGUGAUGGAAAAGAUAAAAGCACUUUUGCAACAUGAGAAGUUGAAAACAGCACCGGUGGAAAAUUGGUUGGCAACAGGGGAAANGGGGCCAUNGCCCGGUCCCGGAUUUUGGUUCCCAGGUGGUGGGGGUUAAGAAAAGNCGGGGGGGUUNCCACACAGGAACUUGGUGGCGAAACCGGUUGGGCCCCCUUCGGGGUUGGUUAUUAGGCCGAUUCAUGGCCCCGCUCUUCUUUCCGGAGGCCUUGCUUUUGAGGGACACCGACUUAUUGACGUCGCCGCCG